CUAGAGUGCUCGGUGUAAGAGCCAGGGUCCUGACCCGCCACCUCAAAGAUACACCGGCGGAACGAAGUGACCGCUGCUGGGAAUCAAUAGACGAGACACGGCACUACUGGUGAUCAGUCAACCCUCUAUAUCAGAUCCUCCCGAGGACGCUUGAUGUCAUCUUGUCCUCCUGGUCAUUAUACUACCUGCUCCUCUCAACAAUACUGCCUUCUCGCUGCUUCUCCACUUGAACUGCCUGGCUGGCCCUCUUCUCUCAAACCAUGGUCGUCUUGUUUGUUCAAGCCUUCCACAGUUUUGUUUCUCAGCUCCUGCCUUUUCCGGUUUUUAUUUUCUCGCCCUCCUGGUUUUGACGCACGCCUGCCUGACCACUCUGCCUGUCCCUGAGCCCGCCUACCGUCCUGUACCUUUGCCACUACUGUGGAUUAUCAACCCCUGCCUGCCUUGACC
rnacentral:lncRNA from 1 species